AAAAACUGAUAUCAAUCACAAAUAUUCUGUUUCAGGCAAAUACAGGGAAAAGUUGUUGAAAUUUCCAAACUUCAAGAAAUAUUUACAGAGAAAGUUCUUCAGCAGGAGAGUGAUGUCAACAGAAUAGCAGAGACCGUAGCUGGGACAACAGAAAAUAUCAUAGAAGGAAAUGAGGAACUUCGAGAGGCUAUGAAGAAAAAUGCAGGAUUUCGUGUUUGGAUCUUGUUCUUUCUGUUGGUAAUUUCCUUUUCACUGCUGUUCCUCGACUGGUAUAAUCCAUAGCCAUGUGAAAGUUUAUAUUUGUCAAUGUAUUAUAAAAUAAAAUUUACACAGAAUUAA